CAGCUUACCUGGUGCUGGGUUCAGGGUGAUUAGGAAUGCUUUGACCCCGGAUGGAGGCUCACCAUUGCACUUCGGUGGGUUGAAACUCGAGACGAACCCUAAUCGGGUGCGCUUGGGCGUGUAGUUUUUGUCUGUUUAUUGACUAAGUACCAUUGAAUAUUGAC
rfam:Schistosoma rodhaini strain Burundi genome assembly, scaffold: SROB_scaffold0000428